UCCCUACGGGGCGCAGCAGUGAGGAAUAUUGGUCAAUGGGCGGGAGCCUGAACCAGCCAAGUCGCGUGAGGGAAGACGGUCCUACGGAUUGUAAACCUCUUUUGCCGGGGAGCAACGGGGUCCUUGCGAGGGCCCGAUGAGAGUACCCGGAGAAAAAGCAUCGGCCAACUCCGUGCCAGCAGCCGCGGUAAUACGGAGGAUGCGAGCGUUAUCCGGAUUUAUUGGGUUUAAAGGGUGCGCAGGCGGGAGGUCAAGUCAGCGGUAAAAUGUCGGGGCUCAACCCCGGCCGGCCGUUG
rnacentral:rRNA from 1 species